rnacentral:lncRNA from 1 species
CAGGUUACAGGCGGCGGCGGCUGCGGGGAGCUGCGCGCGCGGAGGGGGCGGGGACCCCAGAGCGCGCACCGGCGGAACGGAGCGGUCGCGUGCCCGCGCCUGGGCAAGGGGGCGUGACCGAGGGCCGGGACAGACGCCAUUGGUCCGUGAGUGCACGGCCAGGCCAAUCCGAGCCGUUAGAGGGGCGUGCCCGGUCCCGGGCCCUGCGCGCGCCAGUGGGCGUGUCCCCUGGGCCGGUGGGAGGAGGGGCGGAAACUGGAGCGGGGCGCGCUGACGCAUGACGUCCGGGGGCGGCGGGCCGGGUAGUCGCGGCGCGGAGCGGCUGCUUGUACCCCCCGCGGCGGGGACACAGCGAGCACUUCUCUGCCGGAGCUUUUAUGUGGUGACAGCCUUGGCCCCCGGCAUGGAGGGGAGCGGUUUCUGGAGGGCGCCAUUUGUUCCUCCCGCGAUGGGCGCCGGCGGGGAGGCGUGUCUGCCCGGCCGGGCGCGGGGCUGCCUAGGGGCGGAACGCACUCGCGCCGCGCCCUCCGCCGCCGGCUUGCCGGGUGGCCGCGCCUAGAGCCUCAGGCCGCUCGCCCUCCCCACGCCCCUGCCUUGCAGAGCUCCGGGAGUCCGGGCGGGGCAGCUCCCGCGGGAGGGACAGACUCGGGCUCGUUCCUGGGGUCCGGGGUGCGGCCGCGCUGCCCUUCAGCUCGGGUCAGCCCGAGCAGGACUGGCCUCGGCUGGCGGUGAGCCUGGCAGCCCGGGUGGCGCGCCCACCGCGGCCUGUGCCUCCAGAAGCGAACUACGUGCCAGGGCGGCCGGCGCCGCUGCUGAGGGAACGCGGGGCCCCUUCCUCCCCAUCCCGCCGCAGGCCCGCUGCCAACUCUUCUAGGCUGCCCCUCUCCCACCGCGGUCGGGGGGGCUUCAAACGCCACCAGCUGCGAGGACCCCGCCCACCGCGCCCCACCCGCCCGCUGUCUGGGCCUCCCGGAGGAAAUGCUCGGCUGCGCCCAGCCCGCGCCUCCCAGCCCGGGCUGGGCCACCUUGCCCUUGACUCUCACGGUAACCCCUACCCCAGCCCGCGGCCCCAGCCAUUCUCCAGGCCUGGGCCGUCCUCGGAGACGCCGGUGAAUAACUUCCCACCGCCGCGGAACCGGGCUCAGCAAACCCCCUACUGCCUCGCCCCGUUGCAUUGUGCUUAAUGGACGUUCGAAGGAGUCAGCCACCCUUGCUGUGUUCUGAGAGGAGCCUGGAGAAUGAAGGAGCCCGGGCACUCACCCUCAGUGGACCCUCGCAGUGGGAGGGGGGUGUCAUUCUUCUCUCAGAAUUAAGGUUAAUAGCCGAGUUCGAGUUCUCACCAAAUUAAUUUGGGGUUGGAGCUCAGUAAGACUGGUUUUCAGGUAACCGACGAGGGACCGAAACGGCCAUUCUGGGUUGCGUGUUACGGUGAACAGCAAACUGCAUGGAUGUUUGAGCACCCUCAGUAUCUGUAACUAAAACCCUGAAAUGCGGUCUCGCUGAUUGAGUUGCUACCCUCUGGGGAGACUAAAGGUGCUGGACUGGGUCUGGUCCCUUUAGGAGGGUCUGUGCUUGGUAGAAAGUAAUCGUGUUUCUUCCAGGCAGAUUGUGUUGAUGACAUUUAAUAAGAGACGUGUGUCCUGACCAAGUAAUGAUUCGGAAUGUUCCUCUAUUCCCACCACAUGUCACAAUUAGUCACUUCUUAAGGAAGGAGUGGUCCUACACCAGCUUAUCAGCCACCCAUACCCUCCUGGCCCCUUUCCAGCCAGCAGAAUUCUCCCCAAUCUUCAAGGUGCCACGUCUCCCCACUGGGUCACCCCAGCCGGCAUACACAAUGGUAGGCCGUCUAGAGUCUGCACUAUUCUAGUAUUAGGCUACUACAGCCAUGAACAAAACAGGCCUGCCUUGGGUGAGGGGAUGCCCUACGUGGUCAAGGGUCCUCUGCAUUGAUGCACCCCCCUAAGAGUUUUCCAAGAAUGUGGGUCCCAAAGAAUUUUGACUGUGCUCUGUGGCAUUCUGUAUAGAAAACUGAGCUCCUUGGCUGGUUUCUCAAAAAUCCACUCAUUUGAUGAUUGUCGUGGUGUUCACUGACUUUAUCCCAAACCUACAUGGAAGGGUCUUCCGGACAGACAGCUCUUCCCCAAAGAAAAUCUCCUCUUAGCUAAGAGUCCAUGUUUUCUUUUCUAAGUAAGAUUUUGACAGAGAUGGCAUAUGUAUAUGUGAGGGCUGGGUCGUCUCGUUUCAAAUGGAAGCAACAGAAAAGCAGAGCAGGUGUGUCUGGGGCGUAUAGAGACUGAAGGCUGAAAGGGUGGUUGAGUUUCUGGGUAAAGUUGGUGGAUGGUUAGUAUGUAUUGACUUUAACUUCCUUCUGGAGCAUUUGUUAGAAGGCAGAAAUCCACAAAGACAGGGAGAACAAGAGAGGAAGUAACAGCAACGCAGUUCUUGAAGCUAAAAUACUUAGCAGAUCCAAGAAAAUGAAACCCUGAGAUAGUAGCUAGGAAGGAAAGCUAAGAACAUACUCCAUGGAAUCCCCCAGAAGGUUCACUAAUGGGUGGCACUACGUACCUCUGAAUGUGAGAGUAAACGGGGGUGAAAAUAAGAUUGGCAGAACGUCAGCUUGAGGAGCACUCAGAUGCCCAUAUCUGCACCCCAAUUUCAUGCAGCCUGACAACUGCCCCUUCCUUGUUCUGACGAAAGGCUGGAUAUUUAUGACCUGAAAAAACUAAAAGGCAGCGUCUUGGGUAGGUGGACACCAGGCACAAUUAAGGACAGAGGUACGGUAAUAGGAUCAGGGGAUUAAAUACACACAUGGAUACUGGAUGCUGAGACCCACAAACCCCUUUUUGGGAUUUCAGAAUGCAAGCAGCCAGGAGACUAGAAGGGUCUUUCCUGGGGUAGCCAACCAUGCCAAGGGGAAACACCCAGACAUUCUAACAUUUGUGGCUGCCCAAUUAAACAGCCAGCUCACCCUAUAGGGAAGGCCACAGUUAACACUGCCACUCAUGUGCACAGAAGUUCUCAUCAGCCUCUCAGUCCCUCCCAGGCCAAGGACAAGCAGGGAGCCAGAGCUGACCGGCAUCUCAGGAAACCCUGUGUCAUGAAAUACAAAGCCACAAUAGAGUUUUUAAAAAGCAAGUUGGAAGAAACAGACUAUGCAGAAAGAAAGAAACAUCAACAAAACCAUCAAUAAUGUCAUUAAAUUUUAAAAGACAUACAACCUGUGAAGGGAGAACAUAUAUAAAGAAACAUUCAGGGGAAAAAAAGUGUUCUUGAGAUGUUUACAAGGUAACAGAAAUGUAAAAGUAAAAAACCUCCUUGAAAGUAGAACCAAAAUUUUUUUUAAAAAAUGGAAAGUAGAGAAAAGCUAAAUUAGUGGACCAACCAAAAAAAUUAUUGAUCAAUGAGUAGGGACCCAAACAGGUGAUCAGAGAAAACACAAGAGAGAAAAUCGUCAAUGAAUUAUUAAUCCAAGAGAGGCCUUCACGACAUAUGCUGAAAGGGAGAGAGCCCAACACAGUGGGAAAGAAUAGCUCUACGCCAAGGCAUAUCAUUGGUGAGUUUCAGAAUGCAGGGGACAAAAGUGUCCUAACAUUAAAACAGGUCACCUACGGAUAGUCGGGUCAGAAUGACUGUGGGCCUCUCCACAACAACCAGUUGAAGUUAGAAGGAAGGGAACAAAGCCAUGGGAAAUAAAUGUAAAGGAAAAUUAUUUUCCAGCCUUCACCCAGCCAAACUAUAAACCAAGUAUUUUUCAGACGCAUGAGGUUUCAAAAAAUUUAUCCCCCAUGCAUCCUUUCUCAUAGUAGGAAGCCACCAGAGAUUAUACUUCAUCAAAACAAAGAUGUAAACCAAGAAAGCAGGAGACGUGAUCCACAAAGCAGGGAAGUCAUUGCAGGAUGGAAGGGAAAGUAAGUCCCAGGUGAUAGCUGCCCAGCCAGGUGCAGAGUGUCAGCAGCCCAGGCUGGAGCAGAUCGGCAGCUCCAGGAACACGUCUUCAAGAGGUAGAAUGAACAGAGUCCCUGUAUCAGUCAGGAGAGGCUGGGCCACACUGCAAAGCUCAAAGGUUUAUUUCUGGCCAUGCUGCGUGUCCAUAGGGAGGCACCUGGGGACAGCAGGUUGAUGGAGCAGCCUCUGUCUAGAAUGUGCUGGUUGCCGCACAGAAGACAAGGGAUAGCAUGGACCCAAGGGUGUUAACUAUCCCUUCUUUCCCACACACGAAAUACAUUUUACCCCUCCCUGGGUGGGCCUGACCCAUCUCACAUGCCUUUUUAGUCUGAGUCUAGAGCCCAGAGACAGGAUAACAGGAAUUUGAGGUGAGGGACAUUCUAUGGCAGCCAGUCAAAGCCCAGGACCCCCGUGGGAGGAACAGUGGCUUCUUCAUGUGGCUCAUGUGGUUCCUCUUGGUUUAGAGACCUACGGCCUAAAGAUGAAUUGUCUGGGCCCCCGCUGCUCGUAUGCACACCCAAUGCUGAAAGUGCAAAGAGACAGAAUAACACAACUAACAGCCUAAUUCAGAAAAGGGAGGAGGGGGAGACACACAGUAGACAGUAUCCAUAGCAAUCCUGAAACCCUGCUGGGCAGAUACUGCCCCCUGCCCUAAAGUGAGACUAGUCCUUGAAUAGCCUCAAAUCUGCUCACUGUGGAGUUUGAGGAUGGGGCAGUCAGGGCUUUACUCCACCCUCGGGAAGUUUUUCCUUUUGCAAUUUAUAUCUCACAGUUCUGGAGGCCGGAAAUUGUAUUCCAGCCACAGAUUGUAUUAAUCCUAGUUUUGGGCACUGCUA